AUGUUGAUGGUUGAGGCAGAGGAGAAAGUGAGUGAUCUGAGGCAGGGGGAGCUUUGUGUGAUGGAGUAUGUUGCUGAGUUGCAACAUUUGUGGGCUGAUCUAGAUCACUAUGAUCCCCUUGAUUUACCUCAUGCAGAAUGCAUAUCCAAUAUGAAGGGGAGCCUUGGCGCAGUGGUAAAGCUGCCGCCUUGUGACCAUGAGGUCACGGGUUCAAGUCCUGGAAACAGCCUCUUACAGAAAUGUAGGGAAAGGCUGCGUACCCUUCCCCAGACCCUGCGCAAGCGGGAGCUACAUGCACUGGGGCUGCCCCUUUUUUUUAGAAUGCAUAUCCAAUAUGAAGAAGUGGAUUGA
rnacentral:rRNA from 1 species